rnacentral:rRNA from 1 species
AUACGGAGGAUCCGAGCGUUAUCCGGAUUUAUUGGGUUUAAAGGGUGCGCAGGCGGCCAUUUAAGUCAGCGGUUAAAUCGUGGGGCUCAACCCCAUUCUGCCGUUGAUACUGGGUGGCUUGAUUGCGGUCGAGGUUGGCGGAAUUCGUUGUGUAGCGGUGAAAUGCAUAGAUAUGACGAAGAACACCGAUUGCGUAGGCAGCUGACCAGACCGCAAAUGACGCUCAUGCACGAAAGUGCGAGGAUCGAACAGGAUUAGAUACCCUGGUAGUCCGCACAGUAAACGAUGAAUACUUGUUUUCGGCGAUAUAAUGUCGGAGGCAAAGCGAAAGCGAUAAGUAUUCCACCUGGGGAGUACGCCGGCAACGGUGAAACUCAAAUGAAUUGACGGGG